UACAGAGGGAGCUAGCGUUGUUCGGAAUUACUGGGCGUAAAGCGCGUGUAGGCGGUUGUUCAAGUCAGGUGUGAAAGCCUUGAGCUCAACUCAAGAAAUGCACUUGAUACUGGAUGACUAGAGGACCGGAGAGGAUAGUGGAAUUCCCAGUGUAGUGGUGAAAUACGUAGAGAUUGGGAAGAACACCAGUGGCGAAGGCGGCUAUCUGGACGGUUUCUGACGCUAAGACGCGAAAGCGUGGGGAGCAAACAGG
rnacentral:rRNA from 1 species